GUCCACGCCUUAAACGAUGAAUACUCGAUGUCAGCCCGCAAGGGUUGGUGUCCAAGCUAACGCAUUAAGUAUUCCACCUGGGAAGUACGAUCGCAAGGUUGAAACUCAAAGGAAUUGACGGGGGCCCGCACAAGCAGUGGAGCAUGUGGUUUAAUUCGAUGCAACGUGAAGAACCUUACCUGGGUUUGAAAGCUCUGUAAACCGAUGAAAGUCGGGUAGUGUAGCAAUACACGCGGAGUACAGGUGCUGCAUGGCUGUCGU
rnacentral:rRNA from 1 species